rnacentral:misc_RNA from 1 species
CCCAAAACAACACAUAGCAGUUUUUUGAUAAUUCAUUACUCAUUAUGGCUAUUGUAUGUUUCCUUCAAAAGCCAUUCCUUCUUUCCAUUCUUUUACUUGUCUUUCUGUUCAACUUCUGCCACUGCUUCCACCCCAAGUCCCUCAAUUUUUCAAAGACACAAUCUGAUUCUGAUUGGGCACCCGCUGGGGCAACAUGGUAUGGUAGUCCCACCGGUGCUGGAAGUGACGG